UUCCUACCACGUGGAAAGGGGUCAAGCUCUGGUGUUCACUUUCAAUGGCAAGAUCCUUCCUGUGACCACCAGGUUCUUAGUAAGCCAGCUGCAUCCUAGAUUUCCCACAGUAAGAGUCAGUUGUUUGAAAUCUAGAGUCAAGUUCCUCUGCACUUUUUAUGUGCCGGUUCUUGUGGUGAGCUUUGAAUUCUUGCUUCCGAGGAGAGGAGAAUCCUCACGAGGGACAGCGAUGUUUACAUCUGCUGGACAACCCUUCCAUCCUGCAACAGCAAACUGCUUCUACUGGUGAACUCCCCUUUUCCAGCUUCUGGAGGGGCUGCCCAUCCCAUCACACCAUCCCCCACAAGCCGAAGGAUGGGGAUCUGACACAGACCCCACUAACCCACCUUUGCCUCCUCAUGGACAGCAUCAGCAUCCAGAGUUUUAGAGUGGGCCAGUCAGAGCCCAUUGUGGACUUCCUUUUCCUCCAAUACUGCCUGGAGAAGAACUCUUCCAACAUCGCUGAACUACAUGAUGUUGAGUCUAGGGCUGGAGAGGGCAUGUCUGCUCUGCCUGACCAGCAAAGAGAGGGUCCUAGAGUGGAAGGAGAGAUGAGGUCACCACCACGAAGGCGGGGCUCUGACGAAUGACCUGCUGAUGGGCUGCCGAGGACACUGAGAGCUGGACCAUGUCUU